AGAGAGAGGAGAGAGUGGAGACAGAGGAGAGAGAGGAGAGAGGAAUGAGUGGAGAGAGAUGAGAGAGUGGAGACAGAGGAGAGAGUGGAGACAGAGGAGAGAGGAAUAAGUGGAGAGAGAGGAGAGAGUGGAGACAGAGGAGAGAGAGGAGAGAGGAAUGAGUGGAGAGAGAGGAGAGAGUGGAGACAGAGGAGAGAGAGGAGAGAGGAAUACGUGGAGAGAGAGAGGAGACAGAGGAGAGAGAGGAGAGAGGAAUGAGUGGAGAGAGAGGAGAGAGUGGAGAGAGGAAUAAGUGGAGAGAGAGGAGAGAGAGGAGAGA
ensembl:lncRNA